UUCGAAAACAACCUCAAAUGUAUGUCAACUAUAAUAUGCAUCACCCCCUCUACGGCCGAGACACCCACUGAAGCAUCCUUGUUUUAAACAUGGUUCUAAAAUCCUGCCCACAACAGUCAAGCAAGGAACAGAUGCCCUUCCCUUCCCCAUUCGCACUUCUACUGAUGGGGAUAACGCUGGGGCCUCAUCUAGCUCUCGCCCUUUAUUUUCCAGAAUCCUUCUCCGCCCAAAACGCGGACAUAUUUUUUCCUCUUGUAGAUUUGCAUCUUCCUUGGCCCCGGCCAUCUAUUCACUGCCAAAUAAACUCCACUGGCCUGGCUGUGUCCCUAUCUUUAGCCCUAGGCAUUUUUUCUUUGCGUCCCAGAUUGUUUGUUUGAUUGAUAGGGAACAGAAAAA